rnacentral:rRNA from 1 species
UACGAAGGGGGCUAGCGUUGCUCGGAUUGACUGGGCGUAAAGGGCGCGUAGGCGGCUUGUACAGUCAGACGUGAAAUUCCUGGGCUCAACCUGGGGGCUGCGUUUGAUACGUAUGGGCUUGAGUUCGGAAGAGGGUCGUGGAAUUCCCAGUGUAGAGGUGAAAUUCGUAGAUAUUGGGAAGAACACCGGUGGCGAAGGCGGGUCUCUGGGCCGAUACUGACGCUGAGGAGCGAAAGCCAGGGGAGCAAACGGG